ensembl:lncRNA
UAUCUUACCGGUGGUCCCUGGAUGGAAUGUCCACUAGGCCCCUCAGGACCAGGGUUAUAGGUCAUAUAUCAUAUCUUACCGGUGGUCCCUGGAUGGAAUGUCCACUAGACCCUUGAGGACCAGGGUUAUAGGUCAUAUAUCAUAUCUUACCGGUGGUCCCUGGAUGGAAUGUCCACUAGGCCCUUGAGGACCAGGGUUAUAGGUCAUAUAUCAUAUCUUACCGGUGGUCCCUGGAUGGAAUGUCCACUAAGGCCCUUGAGGACCAGGGUUAUAGGUCAUAUCUUACCGGUGGUCCCUGGAUGGAAUGUCCACUAGGCCCUUGAGGACCAGGGGGGCCCUGUGGUCCAGAAGGACCUUUAUCACCAACUAGUCCUUGAGGCCCCUGGAGAAGACAGACCAUUUAUUUAAAUCACACAAUAUUAACCAACGACUCAUGGCUGUUUCCUUACUGAUUUAUGAACUAUAUUUCAACUGAUAAACUGAUCAAUAGUCUACAAACGACUUUAAAAACCUUUAGAGCACAUUUGUAAAGCAUACCUUAAUGUAACGUGUUACAACAACAGAGUUGAUUAACCGCCCGCCCUGUUUACAUAAAAUUAAAUUGAACUAAAAGUUUGUUAGGUCUUCUCUCUGGUGAUAAAUAUGUUCUGUGUCUUCAACGUCCAUGUUUGGACAUCAGGUUUUAGAGCUACUGUCUGACAGCCUUCCUUCUACAACACAAUGCCGUGUCCUUGGGUCUCUCACUCCACACAUAAAUGUGAUAUUCAUAAAGUUAAGACAAAGUACAACGGGUAGCCCACAGGACCGUUCUCCGAGGACACUCAUUAGAAUGGAGUUUACAUUGGGGACUGUGCUCGAGGAAAUUGAUUUAGGCUGUGUCCCAAAUGGCACCAUAGGGCUUUGGUCAAAAGUAGUGCACUAUAUAGGGAAUAGGAUGCAAAUUAGGACAUAUUUCAGCCAAUACCCAACAGUACAUUUGAAAUGAGAUUACAGCCGUCCUGGGUUGGGUUUGUUUGGCACCAUAAUGAAAUCUGUUUCUAGCAUGGCCUCGCCGUUCACAUCUGUUGUAACUUUGUUAGCGAGCUGCCAGUGUGAAACUGGGCUGGAAGCAGAGGGAAUGGAGAGGCCAGCAGCCUGCAGCCUUCGAGGCUGAUAAAGCAGUCAAACAGACGGAGAGAGGGGACUGUCCCAUUUACCAAUCCUGGGUUCAAACACUAUUUGAAAUGUUUAAAAUACUUUGAGAGUUGGAUUUAGUGUCAGGUGGGCGGGGUUUGAAUGCCUGGUGGGCUGGGUUUAAAUGCCAGAUUUGCUGGGUUUGAAUGCCAGAUGGGUGGGGUUUGCAUGCCUGGUGGGCUGGGUUUGAAUGCCAGAUGGGUGGGGUUUGCAUGCCAGGUGGGUGGGGUUUGCAUGCCAGGUGGGCUGGGUUUGAAUGCCAGAUGGGUGGGGUUUGCAUGCCAGGUGGGUGGGGUUUGAAUGCCAGGUGGGCUGGGUUUGAAUGCCAGAUGGGCUGGGUUUGAAUGCCAGAUGGGCUGAGUUUGAAUGCCAGGUGGGUGGGGUUUGAAUGCCAGAUGGGUGGGGUUUGCAUGCCAG